rnacentral:rRNA from 1 species
UAAGUUGCAGGGUAUAGACCCGAAACCCGGUGAUCUAGCCAUGGGCAGGUUGAAGGUUGGGUAACACUAACUGGAGGACCGAACCGACUAAUGUUGAAAAAUUAGCGGAUGACUUGUGGCUGGGGGUGAAAGGCCAAUCAAACCGGGAGAUAGCUGGUUCUCCCCGAAAGCUAUUUAGGUAGCGCCUCGUGAAUUCAUCUCCGGGGGUAGAGCACUGUUUCGGCAAGGGGGUCAUCCCGACUUACCAACCCGAUGCAAACUGCGAAUACCGGAGAAUGUUAUCACGGGAGACACACGGCGGGUGCUAACGUCCGUCGUGAAGAGGGAAACAACCCAGACCGCCAGCUAAGGUCCCAAAGUCAUGGUUAAGUGGGAAACGAUGUGGGAAGGCCCAGACAGCCAGGAUGUUGGCUUAGAAGCAGCCAUCAUUUAAAGAAAGCGUAAUAGCUCACUGGUCGAGUCGGCCUGCGCGGAAGAUGUAACGGGGCUAAACCAUGCACCGAAGCUGCGGCAGCGACACUAUGUGUUGUUGGGUAGGGGAGCGUUCUGUAAGCCUGCGAAGGUGGCCUGUGAGGGUUGCUGGAGGUAUCAGAAGUGCGAAUGCUGACAUAAGUAACGAUAAAGCGGGUGAAAAGCCCGCUCGCCGGAAGACCAAGGGUUCCUGUCCAACGUUAAUCGGGGCAGGGUGAGUCGACCCCUAAGGCGAGGCCGAAAGGCGUAGUCGAUGGGAAACAGGUUAAUAUUCCUGUACUUGGUGUUACUGCGAAGGGGGGACGGAGAAGGCUAUGUUGGCCGGGCGACGGUUGUCCCGGUUUAAGCGUGUAGGCUGGUUUUCCAGGCAAAUCCGGAA